AACGCUSGCGGCGUGCCUAAUACAUGCAAGUCGAACGAGUUCUGAUUAUUGAAAGGUGCUUGCAUCUUGAUUUAAUUUUGAACGAGUGGCGGACGGGUGAGUAACACGUGGGUAACCUGCCCUUAAGUGGGGGAUAACAUUUGGAAACAGAUGCUAAUACCGCAUAAAUCCAAGAACCGCAUGGUUCUUGGCUGAAAGAUGGCGUAAGCUAUCGCUUUUGGAUGGACCCGCGGCGUAUUAGCUAGUUGGUGAGGUAACGGCUCACCAAGGCAAUGAUACGUAGCCGAACUGAGAGGUUGAUCGGCCACAUUGGGACUGAGACACGGCCCAAACUCUACGGGAGGCAGCAGUAGGGAAUCUUCCACAAUGGACGCAAGUCUGAUGGAGCAACGCC
rnacentral:rRNA from 1 species